UACGGGAGGCAGCAGUAGGGAAUAUUGCACAAUGGGCGAAAGCCUGAUGCAGCUAUGCCGCGUGUAUGAAGAGGGCCUUAGGGUUGUAAAGUACUUUCAUCGGGGAGGAAAAAACAAAACUAAUAAUUUUAUUUCUUGACGUUACCCGAAAAAGAAGCACCGGCUAACUCCGUGCCAGCAGCCGCGGUAAUACGGAGGGUGCUAGCGUUAAUCAGAAUUACUGGGCGUAAAGAGCACGUAGGUGGUUUUUUUAAAGUCAGAUGUGAAAUCCCUGGGCUUUAACCUAGGAACUGCAUUUUGAAACUGAAAUACUAGAGUAUCGUAGAGGGAGGUAGAAUUCUAGGUGUAGCGGUGAAAUGCGUAGAUAUCUGGAGGAAUACCUGUGGCGAAAGCGGCCUCCUAAACGAAUACUGACACUGAGGGUGCGAAAGCGUGGGGAGCAAACAGGGAUUAGAUACC
rnacentral:rRNA from 1 species